rnacentral:rRNA from 1 species
AGUGUAGGCGGUAUGACAAGUCGGGUGUGAAAUCCCAGGGCCCAACCCUGGAACUGCAUCCGAUACUGUCAGGCUAGAGUCCCGGAGAGGGUGGCGGAAUUCCCGGUGUAGGGGUGAAAUCCGUAGAUAUCGGGAGGAACACCAGUGGCGAAGGCGGCCACCUGGACGGUGACUGACGCUGAGACUCGAAAGUGUGGGUAGCAAACAGGAUUAGAUACCCUGGUAGUCC